AUGAACGCUGGCGGCGUGCCUAAUACAUGCAAGUCGAACGCUUCACAUUUGUGAAGAGUGGCGAACGGGUGAGUAAUACAUAAGUAACCUGGCCUUUACAGGGGGAUAACUAUUGGAAACGAUAGCUAAGACCGCAUAGGUGUCAUAACCGCAUGGAGAUGAUAUGAAAUAUGCUACGGCAUAGGUAGAGGAUGGACUUAUGGCGCAUUAGCUAGUUGGAGGGGUAACGGCCCACCAAGGCGACGAUGCGUAGCCGACCUGAGAGGGUGACCGGCCACACUGGGACUGAGACACGGCCCAGACUCCUACGGGAGGCAGCAGUAGGGAAUUUUCGGCAAUGGGGGAAACCCUGACCGAGCAACGCCGCGUGAAGGAAGAAGUAAUUCGUUAUGUAAACUUCUGUCAUAGAGGAAGAACGGUGCGUGUAGGGAAUGACAUGCAAGUGACGGUACUCUAUAAGAAAGCCACGGCUAACUACGUGCCAGCAGCCGCGGUAAUACGUAGGUGGCGAGCGUUAUCCGGAAUUAUUGGGCGUAAAGAGGGAGCAGGCGGCACUAAGGGUCUGUGGUGAAAGAUCGAAGCUUAACUUCGGUAAGCCAUGGAAACCGUAGAGCUAGAGUGUGUGAGAGGAUCGUGGAAUUCCAUGUGUAGCGGUGAAAUGCGUAGAUAUAUGGAGGAACACCAGUGGCGAAGGCGACGAUCUGGCGCAUAACUGACGCUCAGUCCCGAAAGCGUGGGGAGCAAAUAGGAUUAGAUACCCUAGUAGUCCACGCCGUAAACGAUGAGUACUAAGUGUUGGGAGUCAAAUCUCAGUGCUGCAGUUAACGCAAUAAGUACUCCGCCUGAGUAGUACGUUCGCAAGAAUGAAACUCAAAGGAAUUGACGGGGGCCCGCACAAGCGGUGGAGUAUGUGGUUUAAUUCGAAGCAACGCGAAGAACCUUACCAGGGCUUGACAUCCUACUAACGAAGCAGAGAUGCAUUAGGUGCCCUUCGGGGAAAGUAGAGACAGGUGGUGCAUGGUUGUCGUCAGCUCGUGUCGUGAGAUGUUGGGUUAAGUCCCGCAACGAGCGCAACCCCUGUUGCCAGUUGCCAGCAUUAAGUUGGGGACUCUGGCGAGACUGCCGGUGACAAGCCGGAGGAAGGCGGGGAUGACGUCAAAUCAUCAUGCCCCUUAUGACCUGGGCUACACACGUGCUACAAUGGACAGAGCAGAGGGAAGCGAAGCCGCGAGGUGGAGCGAAACCCAGAAAACUGUUCUCAGUUCGGACUGCGGUCUGCAACUCGACUGCACGAAGUUGGAAUCGCUAGUAAUCGCGAAUCAGCAUGUCGCGGUGAAUACGUUCUCGGGCCUUGUACACACCGCCCGUCACACCAUGAGAGUCGGUAACACCCGAAGCCGGUGGCCUAACCGCAAGGAAGGAGCUGUCUAAGGUGGGACUGAUGAUUGGGGUG
rnacentral:rRNA from 1 species